UCUUAGAAACCGGUCCCUGAGGCUCGGCAAAGCAGGAGCCCUCCGUGGCAGUGCUUGGGUGGCGGGGCUCUGAGGCUCCGGCCUGACAUCUCUACGGGGUCGACGGGAACGUCUCCGGAUGCCAGGAGUCGCAAAGGGCCGACCAGGAUGAGGAAACCCCAGGCGGAGUCCGGGGGAAGCAGCACGCCAUCCCAGCCUCAGACCUGCCCGGACGCUUUUGGGGUAAGAUUGGGGAAGAUGCCAGGUGAUAGAAUACACCCUGCCUCUAGCAGCAUCCAAUCUGGAGCAAAGACUUCUUUCAACCCUCCCCCAAGCUUCCAAUACAAGCCCAAAUUCUGGAACAAGUCCUUUCCAACACCUCCUUCAGAGAAGCUCCCUGGCUCCAGGCAGUGCUUCCUCACCUCCCUGCAGCAGGAAGCCCAGCUUGCGAGCUGCAGGUGUGCUCCAGGUGGUCACUGGAUGCAGGGUAUUGACAGAUGGAUCCCAUCGAUACCCCCACUGCAGAACCAUGUACCAUUACCAGUUGUUGGGCAGGGAGACCUCCUGCUGCUGCCCAUCCUAGGGUGCAUCCUCCAACAUGGGUGCAUUGUGGUUCAGCCAGCACCUACACCACCUGCAGCCCAGGGCUCCUGUGGUGGGCCUGAGGUUCCUCCCUAUCAAAUGGAGAUGUGCUGGGGUUGCUGCCUUUGCUGAAACCCAUGUCCAGGUCAUCUUCGGGGUGGCCCAGGGUACAGGGCUCUGGAGACAGGCCAGAGGGCUGCAGGGGCAAAAACCAAGAAGAUGAAGGGAUCUCUGAGUCAGACCGCCUGGAUUUGCAUCCCACAGACUAGCUGCAAGGCCUGGGGAAGACUGGUUCACAUCUCUGGGCAUCAGUUUCCUCCCCUGUAAAGUGGGAGGUAUAACAGAUUCACUCCUACAGUUGUCUCUGAGCUUUACAGCAGGUAAUGUGUGCAAAGUACUUCGCACAAUGCCUGGCACACGGUAGGUGAUAAUAAACAGGGUUACUAUGAUAUCAUCAACUGAGCUAGGUCACUCGUGCACUUCUCCAAUGCUUCAGGGUUCCCCUCCAUCCCUCACAUGGUAGCAGCAAGUGAAAGGGCUGCCCCUGGCCUUGAGGAGCUCACAUCUUCUCAUUUCCCAGGGGUCUCCGUCCAGUGACCACACAUGCCUGGCAUGCAAUAGGCGCCUCAUCCACAUCUGGUGAAAGAGUGGAAAGCAGGUCAUUAUCAUGUAUUGUUUGGCACAGAAUCUGCAGUAGGUGACAGAGAAGUGAGUGACUGUAUUUGUGCCCACCAGUUCCUGUCCCUGAAUUUUCAGGGAUCAAGAGGCCUUAGGAAGUCUAGUACCAGGGAGUGGGCACUGUGUGGUGGGGCAGGAGGCAGGUCCUGAGAAAGGCAGUGAGGUGAGGAGAGGAGCUCUGCGUUUGAGGUCUGGAAGAUCCUCCACCAGGACCUCACCAAAGGCCCCGGGCAGGUCAUCCCUCCUCCCAGAAUCUCUCUAUGCUCUUCUGUAUAAUGGGGCUAGCCUGGAAGAGAUACUUGCACAACCAUGUUCAGAGCAGCAUCAUCCACAAUAACCAAAAGGUGGAAGCAACCCAAGUGUCCAUGGAUGGAUGGACGGAUCAACAAAAUGCUGACUAUUCAUACAGUGGAAUAGUGUUCAGCCUUGAAAAGGAAGGAGAUUCUGAUGCCUGCUGCAUCAAGAAUGAACCUCGAGGACAUUAGACUGAGCAAAAUAAGCCAGACCAAAAAGACAAAUGCUGUAUUAUUCCACUUUUUCAAGGCACCUAGAGUAGUCAAAUCCAUAGAGACACACAGGAGAAUGGUUGCUACCAGGUCCUGGGGAGGGUGGUGAUUGGGAAGUUGUUUUUAAAUGAGUUACAGAAUUGUAGUUUUACAAGAUGAAAAGCAUUCUGGAAAUUGGUUGCACAACAUUGUGAAUGUAUUUAGUGCCACUGAAAUGUAAACUUAAACAUAGUUAGACAGUAAAUUUUAGUUUAUUUUACCACAGUUUUUAUAAUGGGGUAGUUAUGCCUGUCUUGUGUUGCUGUAGGAUUUCAUGAGAUAACAUAUAAGGAACCACCCAGCAUGUUGCCUGGCACAUAGUAACUGCUCAAUAAAUCACAACUGGAUGCUAUUGAAGAUAAAGUUACUUGACUUCUCUGAGGCUUGCUCUCUUCAGCUGAAAAUUCUCCCAAAAUAUAUUAGAUGAGACCCUACUGUAUUAUACUGGGUUCAUAAAUACCACUCCCCCUUUUCCCUUCCCACAGAGUGCAGUGAAUAGAAGACACUUCUCUGCACCCCAAAAGCUCCAUGCUGAUUGCGAGAAGGAAAUGCUGGAUGGAGGGGUUCCUGAAACUACUGUGAGGGUUUCUUUUGAUUUCUCCUGCUUAGAAAUGGUGAGAGAACUUUGGAUGUGGAACGUGGAGUAGGAGGAACACGAAGUGGGGAUCUGCACUUGGGGUGGUCAGCACUGCGGAUGCCCAGCAAAGGCACUGCCUGGUCCACCUCCCGGAGGGGUCUCUGCGCCCCAGUCGGCAUCGCAGCUGAUGGCGAAACUUUUGGUGUGGCAGAAGAGUGUCCACAAACUUUGGAAGGUAUCCGCUGCAUCCUCCAUAGCCGUGUAUCCCUGCCGAGGGCGAUCUUCUCAGGGAGCGGAAAGUCUCGUUCAUGGGCCGGGGCUGGCUGGCUGGAGCCACUUGGGCGGCGCAGCCCUGGCGGAGGUUCAGGCGGCCCUGGUGUCGCAAGCGGCUGUGAGUGAUGCCUCCUUGGGGCCGGAGGGGUCCCAGGAAGGCUGCAGACCAGGGCUGACCAGCGGGCAGCAUGGUGGCCGCGAUGGAAGGUGACGGGGUUCGCAGCGCCAGGGGGCCCAGCAGACCCCGAGCCCGAGCAUCCCGCAUCGCCAGCAGCACCGCGGUGAGGCCUGGCGCUGGUGACGCGGCGGCCACUGCGCGAGGCCCACGACCCAGUCCCAGAGGCCAGCCCAUCGUCAGCUAACAUCAGGAACCCCGGGCCAGCUGAGGCCCGGGCCCCAGGGACAAGACAAAGAGCAGAGGCUCCGCAGGCGGGGCCAAGAGCCGGCAGCGCAGGCCUGGCUCCACCGCAGCGGAGCUCGCAGGGCGCAGCAGGCACCGGGCAGCGACCAGGGCUUCCAGAGGAGGCUGUGCACUCCCGCAAAGGCUCCUGCACGGCAUCCAGCCUCUCCGCGGGGACUCCACGUGCACCCCCUCCUCAUUGUCCUUGUCUAGGGCCUAGGCAAGGUCCUCGCUCCCAUGGCGCGACUCCGGGGGCGCAGGAGCCUAGGCUGAGCAGGUGGAGUAGGGUGAGCACCGCCAAGAACCCAACGAGAGUGGCGCCCGAGGGCGGCACAGGAGGCCGCAUUUAACGUGUCAAUCAUCUCAAAGAUUUUAUGACAUCUUUUUUUUGACAUCUUAUAAUAUCUGUAAUGUUUAUUAUAUCUUGUGAUAUAAUUAUUAACACCACUUCAUUGUGAUUAUUAUGAUUAUUCUUAUACCAACACAUCUUCAAUUAUUAAUAUUCCCAGUUGCUAAAGAAAAAUGUAAACGACUAGUUUUGAAAGCCUUACUUCUGCCAAUGGAAGCACAUUCCAGCAUGUCGCCAACGCAAUUCACUUUCCAUCACUUUCACAAGAAACGUUACUGCACAAUUAUACUAUCCUACCCUUAUAUACUUUGUGUGUGUGUACUUGUGUGUAUGUAUGUUAUAUAUGUUAUAUAUAUAUAUAUAUAUAAAGUAUGCCAGAGAUGAACAAGUAUUAGAAAAUUAAAUGCACACAGGUCAUGUCAGUGCUAUGUAUAAUGUGGUGUACUAAGUAUAGCUGCUCAACAGUGUGGAAUCUAGGCUGGAACAAGACUUCUAGUCUUAAGCAAUUCUUUCUAGGUUCAGUCUCUGGAAAUAAUGCUCUGUAUCAAAUGUGCGAGAAAACUAAUGGGUUUUAAAGACUAUUCUAUGUCAACUAUAACAUUUCAUUUGGGGAUUUCUGUCCCUUAUAAUAUCUACCUCAUUUUGGAUGGAUUCCUUGAGGCCUGGUUUAUUUUUCUUUUCCUUUCUACACAUCGCUGCUUAGAGUGAUGAAUGGAGUUGUAUUUUGAAUAAAAUAGCUAAGCAUCCUUUUGUGAGC